rnacentral:rRNA from 1 species
GACGAACGCUGGCGGCGUGCCUAAUACAUGCAAGUAGAACGCUGAAGGAAGGAGCUUGCUCUUUCUGGAUGAGUUGCGAACGGGUGAGUAACGCGUAGGUAACCUGCCUGGUAGCGGGGGAUAACUAUUGGAAACGAUAGCUAAUACCGCAUAAAAUUGAUUAUUGCAUGAUAGUCAAUUAAAAGGUGCAACUGCACCACUACCAGAUGGACCUGCGUUGUAUUAGCUAGUUGGUGAGGUAACGGCUCACCAAGGCGACGAUACAUAGCCGACCUGAGAGGGUGAUCGGCCACACUGGGACUGAGACACGGCCCAGACUCCUACGGGAGGCAGCAGUAGGGAAUCUUCGGCAAUGGACGGAAGUCUGACCGAGCAACGCCGCGUGAGUGAAGAAGGUUUUCGGAUCGUAAAGCUCUGUUGUAAGAGAAGAACGAGUGUGAGAGUGGAAAGUUCACACUGUGACGGUAUCUUACCAGAAAGAGACGGCUAACUACGUG